UUUGUUUAAUUCUUGCUUGAGAAUCUGGAUCAGCUGAAAUUUUAACGCGACAGAAUUUUGGAUUGGACCAAAUGAACCUGAAUUACCCAUAUUUGGUACUUUGCCGGCACGUUGUUUUUUCUUCAACCUCCAACAUGUUUAACGGAAAAAAGUUAGAAGAAAAGGCGGAUUUAUUUAUCAAGGAGACCCUCGAAAUAUUUCGAGUGUCCUACUCCUAGGAGGACAAUAGUACGUAGUUUACGGGAUUUAAAGCCUACUGGAAGAUGUCCUGUUCCUCCUGACCCCAGUUCUGUGUCUUAGUAAAUGAAGAACGCUGGAAAGGUGCAGAG